UAAAUCUGAAUUUAUAAUAUUAAAACACUAAAUGUUUCAUUAAACUGACAUCUUUACAAUGAAGUUCAGUAGACUCCAACACACGUGCAAUAGCCUCAUCAACCUGAUCCUGCACUUCUUUACUGGCAAAAAAUGUAUCAUCAGAGCUUUUAGGUGUCUGUGAGGAGCAAACUCCUAGAUCAAAUGAAGGAGAUUCAAGAACAUAGUCAUCAUGAACAUGUGAAAACUCAGGUGCCAUGUGACCCUUGUCCACUUUUUCAGCCACAUCAUCACCUUUUUGCUUGGGUUCUAUGUGAACAUUGUCACUUUUUUCAACAAUAUCAUCACCUUUUGGCUCAGGUUCCAUGUGACCCUUGCCCUUU
rnacentral:lncRNA from 1 species